rnacentral:rRNA from 1 species
AGAGUUUGAUCCUGGCUCAGAUUGAACGCUGGCGGCAGGCCUAACACAUGCAAGUCGAACGGUAACAGGAAGCAGCUUGCUGUUUCGCUGACGAGUGGCGGACGGGUGAGUAAUGUCUGGGAAACUGCCUGAUGGAGGGGGAUAACUACUGGAAACGGUAGCUAAUACCGCAUAACGUCGCAAGACCAAAGAGGGGGACCUUCGGGCCUCUUGCCAUCGGAUGUGCCCAGAUGGGAUUAGCUUGUUGGUGGGGUAACGGCUCACCAAGGCGACGAUCCCUAGCUGGUCUGAGAGGAUGACCAGCCACACUGGA